GAGGUGGUGUCACUGCUGGAGGCAAAGGCAAUUCCUGAUACCAACAAUUAAUUCGUCUCUGAAUCUCAUCAGAGAAAUGUCUGUUAGCAGCUGACAGCAAUUAACUCAGAGACCCACAACUGGUCAGCAUGCAGAGAAUUAGAGAUGCAGAGAGCUCAGCCCUAAAGGAGACAACAUACCCCCUCCUCCUCCCGUUCCUCAGGAACCAUCACAGAAGAGGAAAUGGAGAGUUAUAAGAGUCAGCGAUGCUGGGUAACUACAAAGAAACAGUGUUUUCUGGACUCUAUAGGGGAAGUCGCAUAUACAAACUCACAGUGGGGUAGCCUGUGUGAACUCAAGCCUGAAAAAAACCCAGCACAGAGAGAGGAAGAUAGUCAAGAAGUCCUACCCCAAACUGAGGACCUACAGACAUUGGAUACCUGCUGGAAAGAUGAGGGUGACCCCAUUUUCUUUAAGUACGCUUUAGAAACAUAAAAUAAGAGAUGGCAAUGAAAAGUAUCUUCCCAUCAUGCUUCCAACCCAUCCCUCCUUCCUUCUGUUCCUGGCCAGUCUCUGCUUCAUCCUCCCUACAUUAUUGUGGGGCAGAGCUUACCUGGCUGUUCCCAGAUAGCUGUGGGAGUGGAGCUUAGACAGAAUACCAACAUGCACAGAUGAGCCGGAUGCCAGAAGCCAGCCCUCCACAACCGUGGCUUCUGCAUGAGCAAAAUCACCAACCAGAGAUU
rnacentral:lncRNA from 1 species